rnacentral:rRNA from 1 species
CACGCCGUAAACGAUGAGUACUAGGUGUAGGAGGUAUCGACCCCUUCUGUGCCGCAGUAAACACAAUAAGUACUCCGCCUGGGAAGUACGAUCGCAAGAUUAAAACUCAAAGGAAUUGACGGGGGCCCGCACAAGCAGCGGAGCAUGUGGUUUAAUUCGAAGCAACGCGAAGAACCUUACCUAGACUUGACAUCCCCUGAAUUACCUGUAAUGAGGGAAGCCCUUCGGGGCAGGGAGACAGGUGG